AAAUCAAAUAGUUGAGCAAUGAUUUUUCUUAGCAGAAAAAUCAAAACAGGGAAGCCGGUGUGAAUCCGGCGCGGUCCCGCCACUGUAACGGGGAGUUUCUGCCAUAUCCACUGAGGGGACUUGGGAAGGAGGCAGAAAUGAUGAACCUGAGCCAGGAGACCUGAUUGCUCACAUGCUUUACU
rnacentral:ncRNA from 2 species